ACGGGAGGCAGCAGUGGGGAAUAUUGCACAAUGGGGGAAACUCUGAUGCAGCAACGCCGCGUGAGGGAAGAAGGUCUUCGGAUUGUAAACCUCUGUUUUUAGUGACGAAACAAAUGACGGUAGCUAAAGAGGAAGCCACAGCUAACUACGUGCCAGCAGCCGCGGUAAUACGUAGGUGGCAAGCGUUGUCCGGAUUUACUGGGUGUAAAGGGUGCGCAGGCGGGACUGCAAGUUGGAUGUGAAAUGCUGAGGCUUAACCUCAGAACUACAUCCAAAACUGUAGUUCUUGAGUGGAGUAGAGGUAAGCGGAAUUCCGAGUGUAGCGGUGACAUGCGUAGAUAUUCGGAGGAACACCAGUGGCGAAGGCGGCUUACUGGGCUCUAACUGACGCUGAGGCACGAAAGUGUGGGUAGCAAACAGGAUUGGAUACCCUGGUA
rnacentral:rRNA from 1 species